rnacentral:rRNA from 1 species
UCGACCUACGGGGCGCAGCAGUAGGGAAUUUUCGUCAAUGGGCGCAAGCCUGAACGAGCAAUGCCGCGUGAACGAGGAAGGUCUUCGGAUCGUAAAGUUCUGUCGAAGGGGAAAAAGAGCGGAGAGAGGAAAUGGUCUCCGAUUGAUAUUACCCUUCGAGGAAGUCACGGCUAACUACGUGCCAGCAGCCGCGGUAAUACGUAGGUGGCGAGCGUUAUCUGGGAUGAUUGGGCGUAAGGGGUGCGUAGGCGGCCUGCUAAGUCUGGAGUGA